GUCGGCUUCGGAAGAGCGAUCCGAUAGCUGGCAGAACCCCUGUCUCCUGCGUGAGCGAUCGCGGGAGGCACCGUUCUGUGCAACGGAAUUCCGAAGAAAGUUGGUGCGUUCGUGGAGAAACAAAGUAGCGCAGCGAACUUGUAAUCACCGAUGCCGCAUCGCUCGGGAAGGACAGAGUUCUUCUCGCGGCCUCAGUAGCCUCC
rnacentral:ncRNA from 1 species